CCAAACUCUGUUGCUUCCAUCUUGGAGCCAUCUGGGCGCUGCCAGGAUGUGGCCUUUGAAGGCACCUCAGUGAAUAUUCACUUUAUUCCUCUGAACUCCAUCUAGCCUCAGCUCCAGCUCCUCAAGGCACCAAGGGAACAGCCUGGAACUUGUCCGUGUGUCCUGCAGUCCGUGGGGUUCUGAUGUCCCUCCAGGGGAACUGGGAAGGCUCAGAGCCUUCAGGAGUCAGGGCUGAUGUUUGUCCUGCAUGAAUACACCAAGAGCUGGAAUGAGCUGCAUCUAGCAAGCUAGCCAACAGUUUUCAGCCUUGUUCUAUGGCAGUCAGCCCUCCACUGGCUUUCAAGAGAUGCUCAGCUUGCCAAGUGCCAGAAGCUUUUUGCAAACAUCAGAAGUGGGAGAGGAUUUCUUGGAGAAAACCUUGCUAUAUCCCUCUGUGAUGAAAGAUUUUAUGCAACACAGGUGGUAUUUGCUCCAGCAGAUGUGCAAACAGCAUUUCUGACCAACACCACCAACUCAGCAUUACCAGCAAGCUCUGUCCUCUCCCGAUCCACCCAGCAAAAAAAGCAGUGCCAGAGCUGACAAUCAAGAAAGUGGCUGCCUGUCCUUAAUAUCCACUUCACUCCAAACUUACUGAAGCACUGGAAACCUCAGAAGCAGCUAUUCCAGUUGCUCAUAAUGUGCUCUUUGUUCCGUGCUUGGCUUAUCUUCGAGCACAAUGCAAUCUGAAGGAAGUACACCCACUCCCUGAUGUUUUCCUUGGGAGCCAGAAAUGUGUGUGCAGCGUUUUUUGGGAAUUUCUGCUACACACCUGUUACCAUGGGACACGAAAUAAUACAACACAGACAUGCAGUUUUCUCAAGUGCUAUUUUAACACCCAGCAACAGAGAGUGAGAGCUGCUGGUGCUCAGAAGGCACAGAUUCCAUCUUAUCUGUUUCCUCCCCUGACUUUGCUUCAGCUCUCACCGGACCAACAAGCUCUGAGAACUCCUAUAAAACUCCAAAGUGAAAAGGAGUGUGCCUGCCAGGUUUGCCAGCCUGAAUAUAUUCUAAGGUGAUGAAUACCAUGGGACUGGUAACUGCUGUAUAAAUGAGUCAUCUGAAGAAUUAAAAAUCAGCCUAUCCAGUUCAGCACUGAAAGGAUGAGUUUGCUCCUGAUUGUCACUGAGAGCUCAAUAAAGAAUCCAUCUCUCCU